UACGUAGGGGGCAAGCGUUGUCCGGAUUUAUUGGGCGUAAAGAGCGUGUAGGCGGCUUGGUAGGUCCGCUGUGAAAACUCGAGGCUCAACCUCGAGAUGUCGGCGGAAACCACUUGGCUAGAGUCCGGAAGAGGAGAGUGGAAUUCCUGGUGUAGCGGUGAAAUGCGCAGAUAUCAGGAAGAACACCUAUGGCGAAGGCAGCUCUCUGGGACGUUACUGACGCUGAGGCGCGAAAGCGUGGGGAGCGAACAGG
rnacentral:rRNA from 1 species